UACGUAGGUGGCAAGCGUUGUCCGGAUUUACUGGGCGUAAAGAGCGCGCAGGCGGUCGUCCAAGUCGCGUGUGAAAGCCCCCGGCUCAACUGGGGAGGGUCAUUCGAUACUGAUCGACUCGAAGGCAGGAGAGGGUAGUGGAAUUCCCGGUGUAGUGGUGAAAUGCGUAGAUAUCGGGAGGAACACCAGUGGCGAAGGCGACUACCUGGCCUGUUCUUGACGCUGAGGCGCGAAAGCUAGGGGAGCAAACGGG
rnacentral:rRNA from 1 species